rnacentral:rRNA from 1 species
GGGGCAACCCUGAUCCAGCGACGCCGCGUGUGUGAAGAAGGCCUUCGGGUUGUAAAGCACUUUCGGCAGGGACAAACAAGACGGAGCUAAUAUCUCCGUCUCUGAUGGUACCUGAAGAAGAAGCACCGGCUAACUCUGUGCCAGCAGCCGCGGUAAUACAGAGGGUGCAAGCGUUAAUCGGAAUUACUGGGCGUAAAGCGAGUGUAGGUGGUUUGCUAAGUCAGGUGUGAAAUCCCAGGGCUCAACCCUGGAACUGCAUUUGAUACUGGCAGGCUAGAGUGUAGAAGAGGAUAGUGGAAUUCCCGGUGUAGCGGUGAAAUGCGUAGAUAUCGGGAGGAACAUCAGUGGCGAAGGCGGCUAUCUGGUCUAACACUGACACUGAGACUCGAAAGCGUGGGGAGCGAACAGGAUUAGAUACCCUGGUAGUCCACGCCGUAAACGGUGGGUACUAGGUGUGGGUUUCCUUCCUUGGGAUCCGUGCCGUAGCUAACGCAUUAAGU